ACUCGACUCCUACGGGAGGCAGCAGUGGGGAAUAUUGCACAAUGGGCGCAAGCCUGAUGCAGCCAUGCCGCGUGUGUGAAGAAGGCCUUCGGGUUGUAAAGCACUUUCAGUUGUGAGGAAAGGUUAGUCGCUAAUAUCGGCUAGCUGUGACGUUAGCAACAGAAGAAGCACCGGCUAACUCCGUGCCAGCAGCCGCGGUAAUACGGAGGGAGCGAGCGUUAAUCGGAAUUACUGGGCGUAAAGCGCACGUAGGCGGCUUUGUAAGUCGGAUGUGAAAGCCCCGGGCUUAACCUGGGAAUGGCAUUCGAUACUGCAGAGCUAGAGUAUGGUAGAGGGAAGUGGAAUUUCCGGUGUAGCGGUGAAAUGCGUAGAUAUCGGAAGGAACACCGGUGGCGAAGGCGACUUCCUGGGCCAAUACUGACGCUGAGGUGCGAAAGCGUGGGUAGCAAACAGGAUUAGAUACCCUGGUAG
rnacentral:rRNA from 1 species